rnacentral:rRNA from 1 species
UACAGAGGGUGCGAGCGUUAAUCGGAAUUACUGGGCGUAAAGCGUGCGUAGCCGGUCGCGUAAGUCAGAUGUGAAAGCCCCGGGCUCAACCUGGGAAUUGCAUUUGAGACUGCUCUGCUCGGGUGCGGAAGAGGGAAGCGGAAUUUCCGGUGUAGCGGUGAAAUGCGUAGAUAUCGGAAGGAACACCAGUGGCGAAAGCGGCUUCCUGGUCCGACACCGACGUUCAGGCACGAAAGCGUGGGGAGCAAACAGG